AGGCACCGGCGAGAUUCAAACUCACGAUCUUCUAUUAACUAUACAGGCGCUUUAACCAACAAAGCCACGGCGAC